UACGUAGGUGGCAAGCGUUAUCCGGAAUCACUGGGCGUAAAGGGCGCGUAGGCGGCCUGUUAAGUCCGAUGUUAAAGACUGGGGCUCAACCCCAGCAUUGCGUUGGAUACUGGCAGGCUUGACGGUUGGAGAGGCGAGUGGAAUUACCAGUGUAGCGGUGAAAUGCGUAGAUACUGGUAGGAACACCCAUUGCGAAGGCAGCUCGCUGGACAACACGUGACGCUGAGGCGCGAAAGUGUGGGGAGCAAACCGGAUUAGAUACCCCGGUAGU
rnacentral:rRNA from 1 species